GACGUAGGGGGCCAGCGUUGCUCGGAAUCACUGGGCGUAAAGGGUGCGUAGGCGGGUUUUUAAGUCAGGGGUGAAAUCCUGGAGCUCAACUCCAGAACUGCCUUUGAUACUGAGGAUCUUGAGUUCGGGAGAGGUGAGUGGAACUGCGAGUGUAGAGGUGAAAUUCGUAGAUAUUCGCAAGAACACCAGUGGCGAAGGCGGCUCACUGGCCCGAUACUGACGCUGAGGCACGAAAGCGUGGGGGAGCAAACAGG
rnacentral:rRNA from 1 species